rnacentral:rRNA from 1 species
UGGGGAAUUUUGGACAAUGGGGGAAACCCUGAUCCAGCCAUCCCGCGUGUGCGAUGAAGGCCUUCGGGUUGUAAAGCACUUUUGGCAGGAAAGAAACGUCAUGGGUUAAUACCCCGUGAAACUGACGGUACCUGCAGAAUAAGCACCGGCUAACUACGUGCCAGCAGCCGCGGUAAUACGUAGGGUGCAAGCGUUAAUCGGAAUUACUGGGCGUAAAGCGUGCGCAGGCGGUUCGGAAAGAAAGAUGUGAAAUCCCAGAGCUCAACUUUGGAAUUGCAUUUUUAACUACCGGGCUAGAGUGUGUCAGAGGGAGGUGGAAUUCCGCGUGUAGCAGUGAAAUGCGUAGAUAUGCGGAGGAACACCGAUGGCGAAGGCAGCCUCCUGGGAUAACACUGACGCUCAUGCACGAAAGCGUGGGGAGCAAACAGG